UACGUAGGGGGGCAAGCGUUGUCCGGAAUCACUGGGUGUAAAGGGCGCGUAGGUGGCCUGUGGAAGUCUGCGGUGAAAGCCCGGCGCUCAACGCCGGGUCGGCCGUGGAUACUCUCGGGCUUGAGCUUACUAGAGGCAGAUGGAAUUCCGGGUGUAGCGGUGGAAUGCGUAGAGAUCCGGAAGAACACCGGUGGCGAAGGCGGUCUGCUGGGGUAAUGCUGACACUGAGGCGCGACAGCGUGGGGAGCAAACAGG
rnacentral:rRNA from 1 species